GGACACAAUCGUUGUAGACCAAGGUCGGUCUUCCAUGUACGGAUUUGUUGAACCUCAGACCAUUCAACCGUCUGGUAACACACUUCAAAACAGACAACAAUAUUUGCAAACAUGGAUGGAUGAGUCAAAAAGAAACGUAUACCUUGUGCCAUACAUUGAUGGAUAGCAUGCACUGGCAGCUGAUGGUCAUCAUUCCCAAAGCAUGUAAAAUUAUAUGGUUUUGUUCGUUGCAUAGGAAGAUGAAAAAUGACUUGAGAACAAUGCUUCAAGGAGUUAUUGGUAAAUCACGUGGUCAACUGGUUCAAAUCUUGUAUCCAAAG